AUUGAACGCUGGCGGCAGGCUUAACACAUGCAAGUCGAGCGGAGCGAGGGUGCUUGCACCUUAGCUUAGCGGCGGACGGGUGAGUAAUGCUUAGGAAUCUGCCUAUUAGUGGGGGACAACAUUCCGAAAGGAAUGCUAAUACCGCAUACGCCCUACGGGGGAAAGCAGGGGAUCUUCGGACCUUGCGCUAAUAGAUGAGCCUAAGUCGGAUUAGCUAGUUGGUGGGGUAAAGGCCUACCAAGGCGACGAUCUGUAGCGGGUCUGAGAGGAUGAUCCGCCACACUGGGACUGAGACACGGCCCAGACUCCUACGGGAGGCAGCAGUGGGGAAUAUUGGACAAUGGGCGGAAGCCUGAUCCAGCCAUGCCGCGUGUGUGAAGAAGGCCUUUUGGUUGUAAAGCACUUUAAGCGAGGAGGAGGCUCUUAAGGUUAAUACCCUUGAUGAGUGGACGUUACUCGCAGAAUAAGCACCGGCUAACUCUGUGCCAGCCGCCGCCGUAACAC
rnacentral:rRNA from 1 species